rnacentral:rRNA from 1 species
GACGAACGCUGGCGGCGUGCCUAAUACAUGCAAGUAGAACGCUGAAGGAGGAGCUUGCUUCUCUGGAUGAGUUGCGAACGGGUGAGUAACGCGUAGGUAACCUGCCUGGUAGCGGGGGAUAACUAUUGGAAACGAUAGCUAAUACCGCAUAAUAGUAGAUGUUGCAUGACAUUUGCUUAAAAGGUGCAAUUGCAUCACUACCAGAUGGACCUUCGUUGUAUUAGCUAGUUGGUGGGGUAACGGCUCACCAAGGCGACGAUACAUAGCCGACCGGAGAGGGUGGUCGGCCACACUGGGACUGAGACACGGCCCAGAGUCCUACGGGAGGCAGCAGUAGGGAAUCUUCGGCAAUGGACGGAAGUCUGACCGAGCAACGCCGCGUGAGUGAAGAAGGUUUUCGGAUCGUAAAGCUCUGUUGUAAGAGAAGAACGAGUGUGAGAGUGGAAAGUUCACACUGUGACGGUAUCUUACCAGAAAGGGACGGCUAACUACGUG